CCUACGGGUGGCAGCAGUGGGGAAUAUUGGACAAUGGGCGAAAGCCUGAUCCAGCCAUGCCGCGUGUGUGAAGAAGGCCUUCGGGUUGUAAAGCACUUUCAGUGGGGAAGAAAGCCUUGGGGCUAAUACCCUCGAGGAAGGACAUCACCCACAGAAGAAGCACCGGCUAACUCCGUGCCAGCAGCCGCGGUAAUACGGAGGGUGCGAGCGUUAAUCGGAAUUACUGGGCGUAAAGCGCGCGUAGGCGGUCUGAUAAGCCGGUUGUGAAAGCCCCGGGCUCAACCUGGGAACGGCAUCCGGAACUGUCAGGCUAGAGUGCAGGAGAGGAAGGUAGACUUCCCGGUGUAGCGGUGAAAUGCGUAGAGAUCGGGAGGAAUACCAGUGGCGAAGGCGGCCUUCUGGACUGACACUGACGCUGAGGUGCGAAAGCGUGGGUAGCAAACAGGAGUAGAUACCCCUGUAGUC
rnacentral:rRNA from 1 species